CGACCAGUCGCGCAGCGGUCUAACGCGUCUCCUAUCAAGGAGACGAUCGCGGGUUCGAAUCCCGCCUGAUUGG
rnacentral:tRNA from 1 species